GCGGUUGUGAUUUAACAGCCAGAAUACCUCCCCGCCACGGAGGAAGUCCGGGUGCAAUUCCCGGCAACCGCACCA
rnacentral:tRNA from 1 species